rnacentral:tRNA from 1 species
GGAGAUAGCUCAGUGGUUGAGCGCCUGCUUCUCAUGUAUGUGGUCCUGGGUUCAAUCCCCAGUACCUCCU